rnacentral:rRNA from 1 species
UCGGGGGAAAGAUUUAUCGCCGAAAGAUCGGCCCGCGUCUGAUUAGCUAGUUGGUGAGGUAAAGGCUCACCAAGGCGACGAUCAGUAGCUGGUCUGAGAGGAUGAUCAGCCACAUUGGGACUGAGACACGGCCCAAACUCCUACGGGAGGCAGCAGUGGGGGAAUAUUGGACAAUGGGCGCAAGCCUGAUCCAGCCAUGCCGCGUGAGUGAUGAAGGCCUUAGGGUUGUAAAGCUCUUUUGUCCGGGAAGAUAAUGACUGUACCGGAAGAAUAAGCCCCGGCUAACUUCGUGCCAGCAGCCGCGGUAAUACGAAGGGGGCUAGCGUUGCUUCGGAAUCACUGGGCGUAAAGGGCGCGUAGGCGGACUUUUAAGUCGGAGGUGAAAGCCCAGGGCUCAACCCUGGAAUUGCCUUCGAUACUGGGAGUCUUGAGUUCGGAAGAGGUUGGUGGAACUGCGAGUGUAGAGGUGAAAUUCGUAGAUAUUCGCAAGAACACCGGUGGCGAAGGCGGCCAACUGGUCCGAAACUGACGCUGAGGCGCGAAAGCGUGGGGAGCAAACAGGAUUAGAUACCCUGGUAGUCCACGCCGUAAACGA